rnacentral:rRNA from 1 species
AUUGAACGCUGGCGGCAGGCCUAACACAUGCAAGUCGAGCGGAUGAAGGGAGCUUGCUCCUGGAUUCAGCGGCGGACGGGUGAGUAAUGCCUAGGAAUCUGCCUGGUAGUGGGGUAUAACGUCCGGAAACGGGCGCUAAUACCGCAUACGUCCUGAGGGAGAAAGUGGGGGAUCUUCGGACCUCACGCUAUCAGAUGAGCCUAGGUCGGAAUAGCUAGUUUGUGGGGUAAGGGCCUACCAAGGCGACGAUCCGUAACUGGUCUGAGAGGAUGAUAAGUCACACUGGAGGUGGGACACCGUCAAGGCUACUACGAGAGGCACCAGACGGCAACGUUGGACAAUGGGCGAGAGCCUGAUCCAGCCAUGCCGAGUGUGAGAAGAAGGUCUUCCGAUUGGGAAGCCCUUUAUGUUGGGGGGAAGGGCAGUAAGUUAAUACCUAGCGGUUUUGACGUUACCAGCAAAAUAAGCACCGGCUAACUACGUG